rnacentral:lncRNA from 1 species
CCCUCUCCCUCUCCCUCUCCCCACGGUCUCCCUCUCCCUCUCUUUCCAUGGUCUCCCUCUGAUGCCGAGCCGAAGCUGGACUGUACUGCUGCCAUCUCGGCUCACUGCAACCUCCCUGCCUGAUUCUCCUGCCUCAGCCUGCCGAGUGCCUGCGAUUGCAGGCGCGCGCCGCCACGCCUGACUGGUUUUCGUAUUUUUUUGGUGGAGACGGGGUUUCGCU